CUACGGGGGGCAGCAGUGGGGAAUAUUGGACAAUGGGGGGAACCCUGAUCCAGCCAUGCCGCGUGUGUGAAGAAGGCCUUUUGGUUGUAAAGCACUUUAAGCGAGGAGGAGGCUUACCUGGUUAAUACCUGGGAUAAGUGGACGUUACUCGCAGAAUAAGCACCGGCUAACUCUGUGCCAGCAGCCGCGGUAAUACAGUGGUGCAAGCGUUAAUCGGAUUUACUGGGCGUAAAGCGCGCGUAGGUGGCUAAUUAAGUCAAAUGUGAAAUCCCCGAGCUUAACUUGGGAAUUGCAUUCGAUACUGGUUGGCUAGAGUAUGGGAGAGGAUGGUAGAAUUCCAGGUGUAGCGGUGAAAUGCGUAGAGAUCUGGAGGAAUACCGAUGGCGAAGGCAGCCAUCUGGCCUAAUACUGACACUGAGGUGCGAAAGCAUGGGGAGCAAACAGGAUUAGAUACCCUAGUAGUC
rnacentral:rRNA from 1 species